UAUUUUAUGACUUUCUAUUGCAUCUUUAUGCAACUAAAUUUUUAUUUUCAUAAAAGCUCGUCGUAUAUUUACUUUAAUCACAAUGAAACAAUUUAUUUAUUUAACAGUUUUAGAGGCAAUUUAAGUGUUGUGCCUUUAUUUUAUUGUAUUUAAUCAAUCUCGAAUAUUGUUUGCAUCGACACUGGAUAAAUUUAACUCGUAUUUGUGUAAAUUUUAAACUCAUCUUUAACCUUAAAUUUGCAAUGGAGAGAUCUACAAAACUAUCUUUAGACCAGUUACGAGUAUAAAGCUAUGUUACAUAGAACCAGCUCUAAAUGAGACUAUACUGUUCACCGGGUCAUCAUCAUCAUCAUCUUCUUUCAAUCUGAAUAAGUUCAGUGAACUUUCUUCAACUGAUAAACCAUUUUUACAAUCUUCAGCCUUGACCUUGACUUGGAUCAUAUUAUAUAAUGGACACCGGAAGCACUCAUACGAUGAAUUAAUCCAGAUUAACAACAUGAUUUUUUUCAUUGCUUGCAAAGCUGUCAAGUGUGUAUAUAAGAUGUAGUUACAAGUAACACACAAAAAAAAGAUAAACUCAUCUUCAUUAACAGUUGCCUCCUACUUUCUGUAAACCGUCAUGGCUUCCGGUCCACGGUUAGUGAUUGGGGGAGGAUGAAGUGGAGAUACACAAAAAAUAGCAGUUUGACUUUAAGAGUCAAGCAAGACUGGAUAUAAAAGACCAACUCAAAACUAUUUCCGGUUAUAACAAUUAAAUCUCUGUUAUUUUCAUUCACCAUUUACCGUCUUUUUUCUUCUCAUCAGGAUAAUCAUCAUCUCAUGAGAUCGACUCUCCAAGGAAUCAUCAAAAUAUCAUCUUCAAGUAAAAUCUUGGACCAAACUUGGGAACGAAGAGAGAAGUUAAGUCUCAUGGAAUGCUUUUUUUCAUAAAAUUUCAUUCAAAAUCCAUCAAGAGUCUGUAGAAUCUCAAAGAGUAGAUCUCAAAGUCCCUGAUUUAAUGGCAAUUUGCUGAUUAUGCUUGAGCUUAAUGUUGACGGUGAAAUGCAAUGAUUCUGAUGAUACUGGUAAAAUAAUUACAAGUCUGGUUCAUAUUUCAAUAGCCUGCAACCGGAACCGAAACACUCAUGUUUUUUGGUUGCUAUUGCAUGGAACAAUGGUUCAAAAAAGGAGAAUAAGAAGAAGAUGAUGAUAAAAAGAGAUAAAGGCAAAGUAAAAGUAAAGGAGAGGAGAGGAGAGUCAAGAAGGAGAUUCCUUUAUCCUCAUUCCGUUCUGUCUAAAAAUAAUACUCAAGGAACUUUGCUGAUGAAGAAAAAAGUAUAAAAAAAUAAAUAAAAAAGACAAGAGGCGAGGAAGACGAAGAAGAAGAGAUAAAAGAGUAAAAGUCAUCUGACAAGAAGAGCAAUACUCAGAGCUUUACUUCAGAAUUUUUAUGUCACCAGAUAAAAUUUCAAAUGAGCGAUUCUCUUCUCGCAUUUCUCAUCCUCAUCAUCAUCACCGUUUCUCUAGUUUCUUUGUUUCACUCUUUAUCUUCAUUCUCCUUUCCUACCCAAGGAUUUUGAUUGAUGGAGCACAUUUCAAGGAAUCAGACAUUGAUAAUCAAAAUAGCGACCCAAUCAGUCAACAUCAUCAACCUCGCACUUCAUUUUCAAUUUACCAAUAAUCAUAGAGAAAAGGAUCAAUCUAAAAUUGAAACACAAAUCGAAUGGUCCUUUUUGUAUUUUUGUUUUACAAUUAAUUCAUUUAGAUUGGUUACAUACCCUUGUUGAUAUGUGCACGAAGGCUCAGUUUUUAUCAGGUGUAUUGGAACUCCUUGAGGUGGACUUGUUACUGUUCCCGAAGAUGAAGCCGAGGAGGAAGAGGUUGGAUGAGCGGUCAUCAGAUUUCCAUUUCCACCAGACCCUAUUGGGGUCACAAUGGAGGCUACAGGGAAUCAGCACAAUCACGGCUCCCAUUCAUCGUCACAAUCAACACAACAAGUCAAUGUGUAGAUUACAAUUUGAAUAUUAAACAUGCUAAUCGAAAGUCAAAUUUCCACUUUUAACCUUUCUUAAUCUUAAUCUUGAGCUGCAAUUUAAAUCUUGAUUUAACCUAACCUUACCUUCAAAUCAACUUUCAUUCAAAUCCUUCGAUCAGCAUAUUUUUAUCCAAAUUUUAUAGCUUCCCAUUAGAAUCAAUUUUCAUUUUAUUUGUGAAUUAACUGGAUUGAUCUUUGAUUAAUGACCCUAAGUUUGACUAGACGAAAUUAAUUUAGCUAAUUGUUUCAAAUUAGAUCAACUAAAAAAGUUGUCUGAAAGUGUAAGUUUUAAAGGAAAAUAAGAUGAAAAAAACAAUUCUUUCUAAUAAAGUAAUCAAAAUCAUUCCCUAUUUUGAUCUUAAUUAGUCUGUAA